rnacentral:tRNA from 1 species
GGCGAGGUAGCCAAGCGGUCUAAGGCGCCAGACUAAGGUUUUCAACACAUUCCGAGUUUCUAAGCUCAUCGAUAGAGUUUGCCAACGCGACAUCUGGUUCUUCGGAGCGUGGGUUCGAAUCCCACCCUCGUCA